AAGGUAGUGUAACAGUCUUGAACUGUCAUAUUAGGUGCCCUGGUAAAUGUAAAUCCACUACCUGACACUAGGGGCAGUGUGGCCCUGAUUGCUGUAGUAUAUCAGCAACGUAGAUGUAGAAGAAGUGAGAUUGGUUUGAUCGUGGAGAUCGUGCUACAGCAUGGUGGAUGGUGUCUGCAACCCACUCUUAAGAGUCCUGACUGGGAAUCUUUGGGGAUUUUCUGCUCAGUCAAUAAGGACUCUUUAGUCUUUAUGAACAAUACAAAGGUGGAUUAUUCAUCAAAAAGGCCCCUUUACCUCAGGAAUUGUUUCUUUCAACUUCCUUGUGAUUUCAUGAGGCGCUAGGGGAAAUGUAUGCUGGUAUGCUUGGACACUUGUUGGAUUAUAUCUGACUGGUUCAACUCGCAUCACUUCGAGACUUUAACUCCCUGGACUUCAGCCGCAAGGGCUUCAUCAUUGUGAACUAUCCAGAUAAGCUACCAUUUCACUUGGGAAGGGUGUUUAUUUACAUAUGAUCCUUCCCAGUGGUUAAAUGAUCUGACUCCAGUGGUUACCCGCUUAUGGGUGAUUUCAUAACCUGAUAUCAGGGGCGGACUGGCCAUCGGGAGCACCGGGACAUUUCCCGGUGGCCUGAUGGUCAUUCUGGCCUGCCGGCUGCCGCUGUGCUGUCGAUCAGACUGACGUGCAAUAGGCUGUAUGCAACUGCGAAUUAAUUGACGCACUUAUGAAUCUACGAAUCAGGCGAUCGCGGAGUGAAAAUGACACCACCACAUGACCCAACAUCAGCGAAGCACUGCCUAAUUGGCUAUAUCCAGAGGCAGGCUUUAUCUUGAAAAAUAGUGCAAAAAAUGGAGCGUAAACGCAAAGGAGGAGCAGAGAGGGAACGCAUAAAAAGGAGAAAAGCCCUGGCCACAGACGCAGCAAGUUGCUGCAAAAUCCCAGCCAUGUUCGCCGGUAAGGGAACAGGUCAGUCAGAAUUACAUUUACAUAAUAUUUACCAGGGGUGGGGAAAAAAAAUCGAUCCGUUCGGUUCUCCACACUCGGUUCGGCACGCGCUCGGACCGCUGUUCAACUUAAAUCUGACGAAGCAUCUGUAAUAUGGUUUAAUAUAAAUAACACGUAAAACAAUCAGGGUUCAGUUAAUAUAUGUUUCUGUUGAUGGAUGAACAUUCUGGGUUCCCAGACAUUACAACAACAGCGAUG